rnacentral:rRNA from 1 species
UACGGGGGGGGCAAGCGUUGUUCGGAAUUACUGGGCGUAAAGGCUCGUAGGCGGCCAACUAAGUCAGACGUGAAAUCCCCAGGCUCAACCUGGGACUGCGUCUGAUACUGGAUGGCUUGAAUUCGGGAGAGGGAUGCAGAAUUCCAGGUGUAGCGGUGAAAUGCGUAGAUAUCUGGAGGAAUACCGGUGGCGAAGGCGGCAUCCUGGACCGACAUUGACGCUGAUGAGCGAAAGCUAGGGGAGCAACGGG